CCCUGUGGCUCAGUUGGUAGAGCAUGGUGUUUGCAACGCCAGGGUUGUGGGUUUGAUUCCCACUGGGG
rnacentral:tRNA from 1 species